GCAUCGAUGAAGAACGCAGCGAACUGCGAUACGUAAUGCGAAUUGCAGGAUUCAGUGAGUCAUCGAAAUUUUGAACGCAUAUUGCACUUCCGGGUUAGUCCUGGAAGUAUGCCUGUAUCAGUGUCCCGUACAACAAACUUGGCUUUCUUCCUUCCGUGUAGUCGGUGGAGGAGAUGCCAGAUGUGAAGUGUCUUGCGGUUGGUUUUCGGACCGACUGCGAGUCCUUUUAAAUGUACUAAACUGUACUUCUCUUUGCUCCAAAAGUGGUGGCAUUGCUGGUUGUGGACGCUGCUAUUGUAGCGAGUUGGCGACCGGUUUGUCUGCUGCGGCGUUAAUGGAGAAAUGCUCGAUUCGUGGUAUGGUUGGCUUCGGCUGAACAAUGCGCUUAUUGGGUGAUUUUCCUGCUGUGGCGUGAUGGACUGGUGAACCAUGGCUCUUUAGCUUGGCAUUUGAAUCGGCUUUGCUGUUGCGAAGUAGAGUGGCGGCUUCGGCUGCCGAGGGUCGAUCCAUUUGGGAAAUGUUGUGUACUUCGGUAUGCAUCUCAAUUGGACCUGAUAUCAGGCAAGAUUACCCGCUGAACUUAAGCAUAUCAAUAAGCGGAGGA
rnacentral:rRNA from 1 species